rnacentral:rRNA from 1 species
GACGAACGCUGGCGGCGUGCUUAACACAUGCAAGUCGAACGGAAAGGCCCUGCUUUUGUGGGGUGCUCGAGUGGCGAACGGGUGAGUAACACGUGAGUAACCUGCCCUUGACUUUGGGAUAACUUCAGGAAACUGGGGCUAAUACCGGAUAGGAGCUCCUGCUGCAUGGUGGGGGUUGGAAAGUUUCGGCGGUUGGGGAUGGACUCGCGGCUUAUCAGCUUGUUGGUGGGGUAGUGGCUUACCAAGGCUUUGACGGGUAGCCGGCCUGAGAGGGUGACCGGCCACAUUGGGACUGAGAUACGGCCCAGACUCCUACGGGAGGCAGCAGUGGGGAAUAUUGCACAAUGGGCGGAAGCCUGAUGCAGCAACGCCGCGUGCGGGAUGACGGCCUUCGGGUUGUAAACCGCUUUCGCCUGUGACGAAGCGUGAGUGACGGUAAUGGGUAAAGAAGCACCGGCUAACUACGUGCCAGCAGCCGCGGCGAUACGUAGGGUGCGAGCGUUGUCCGGAUUUAUUGGGCGUAAAGGGCUCGUAGGUGGUUGAUCGCGUCGGAAGUGUAAUCUUGGGGCUUAACCCUGAGCGUGCUUUCGAUACGGGUUGACUUGAGGAAGGUAGGGGAGAAUGGAAUUCCUGGUGGAGCGGUGGAAUGCGCAGAUAUCAGGAGGAACACCAGUGGCGAAGGCGGUUCUCUGGGCCUUUCCUGACGCUGAGGAGCGAAAGCGUGGGGAGCGAACAGGCUUAGAUACCCUGGUAGUCCACGCUGUAAACGGUGGGUACUAGGUGUGGGGUCCAUUCCACGGGUUCCGUGCCGUAGCUAACGCUUUAAGUACCCCGCCUGGGGAGUACGGCCGCAAGGCUAAAACUCAAAGGAAUUGACGGGGCCCCGCACAAGCGGCGGAGCAUGCGGAUUAAUUCGAUGCAACGCGUAGAACCUUACCUGGGUUUGACAUGGAUCGGGAGCGCUCAGAGAUGGGUGUGCCUCUUUUGGGGUCGGUUCACAGGUGGUGCAUGGCUGUCGUCAGCUCGUGUCGUGAGAUGUUGGGUUAAGUCCCGCAACGAGCGCAACCCUUGUUCACUGUUGCCAGCACGUUAUGGUGGGGACUCAGUGGAGACCGCCGGGGUCAACUCGGAGGAAGGUGGGGAUGACGUCAAGUCAUCAUGCCCCUUAUGUCCAGGGCUUCACGCAUGCUACAAUGGCUGGUACAGAGAGUGGCGAGCCUGUGAGGGUGAGCGAAUCUCGGAAAGCCGGUCUCAGUUCGGAUUGGGGUCUGCAACUCGACCUCAUGAAGUCGGAGUCGCUAGUAAUCGCAGAUCAGCAACGCUGCGGUGAAUACGUUCCCGGG